rnacentral:rRNA from 1 species
GAUGACGCUGGCGGCGUGCCUCAAACAUGCAAGUCGAGCGAGGCUAUGAGUUACCGCAAGGUAAGGCAUAGCCUAGCGGCGAACGGGUGAGUAACACGUGGGUAACCUACCUGGAAGACAGGGAUAACGAUUCGAAAGGGUCGCUAAUACCUGAUAAUAUCCAUCUGCCGGAUGGCGGAGGGAAGAAAGGGGAAACCCGCUUUCAGAUGGGCCCGCGUCCCAUCAGCUAGUUGGUAAGGUAAAGGCUUACCAAGGCGACGACGGGUAGCCGGUCUGAGAGGAUGUACGGCCACACUGGGACUGAGAUACGGCCCAGACUCCUACGGGAGGCAGCAGUUGGGAAUCUUAGGCAAUGGACGAAAGUCUGACCUAGCGACGCCGCGUGAGGGAAGAAGGCCUUCGGGUUGUAAACCUCUGUCAUGGGGGAAGAAGGAAGUGACGGUACCCCAAGAGGAAGCCCCUGCUAACUACGUG